AGCGAACGCUGGCGGCAGGCCUAACACAUGCAAGUCGAACGGAUCCUUCGGGAUUAGUGGCGGACGGGUGAGUAACACGUGGGAACGUGCCCUUUGGUUCGGAGCAACUCAGGGAAACUUGAGCUAAUACCGGAUGUGCCCUUCGGGGGAAAGAUUUAUCGCCAUUGGAGCGGCCCGCGUCUGAUUAGCUAGUUGGUGAGGUAAAGGCUGACCAAGGCGACGAUCAGUAGCUGGUCUGAGAGGAUGAUCAGCCACAUUGGGACUGAGACACGGCCCAAACUCCUACGGGAGGCAGCAGUGGGGAAUCUUGCGCAAUGGGCGAAAGCCUGACGCAGCCAUGCCGCGUGAAUGAUGAAGGUCUUAGGAUUGUAAAAUUCUUUCACCGGGGACGAUAAUGACGGUACCCGGAGAAGAAGCCCCGGCUAACUUCGUGCCAGCAGCCGCCGUAACAC
rnacentral:rRNA from 1 species